CCCACCACACACGAUCUCCCUUCCCCCUCUUCAUCCCCGUCCAACUUAUUAUACCGGGACCGGAGAAGGGGGGCGCGGGGAUAUGACGUCACACCAGCCUCGCCAUCUGAGGUGAUUGUAUUCUACCCGGCAACCCAGGCCGCCCACGGGGACUCGUGUCAGGCAGGGCCACGAGCAGGGAUGGGGGGCUCCAGUUACCUGACUUCAUGAGGCCGGUGACAUCCUCUCAGCCAUCAUCACCCCGGGCUGCUGCUGCUGCACUGCGUGUCGGCUGCCUUCUCUUUCUCUCAAGGAGUUUUAUAACAAGGAGGAAAAAAAAAAAAAGAAGAAAAUUUUUCCCCCUCCCCACUCAAAAAUAAAUCCUCAUUCUCCCACCCUUCGUAGUCAC